GGCCGCCUGGCGAAAUGGCAUCGCGUCUGACUACGACUUGGCUUAUGUAACGAUGUGUAAUCGGUCACCCACGUGAUCAGGAGAUUGCAGGUUCGAGACCUGCGGCGGUCA